GGACUGGUCAGUUUAUUCUGUGUGCUCUCAUUUAAAAAGUCUAUUUUACUGUUAUACUGUGUGUCCUAUUAUACUGUGUGUCUGCUAUAUUUCCUUACUCAGCUAUUUGCAAAACAUAUAUCAAUACUAGCUAGGAUGAAACCAAGAUAAACCUCUUCACAGAAACAGACUCGGUCUAAAAGGUCACGCCAGCUUGUGGUCAUGCCCCUAUGCAGCUGUUCCUGGAAGAUGACUGCUAAAUUAAAACCGCAUAAGAACUUUGUACUUUAUAUUUCGUUGUAUUUCCUCCCAUUUCAAGAUAUAUAUCUACGAAGUUUGAUAUCUAUUUUUAUAUCUAUGAAGUUUGUACUUUUCCAUUUGAAGCCACAUAGCGAAACCGCAAGCUUAGGAGGGUGUCAUAACAACCCCCACCUAGCCUAUAUAACCUUUUGUACCUUACAAUAAAGUGUGAAGAAGCAUUUUGUAUACUGAACUGUCUGUGUCAGUGUCAUUCCUGCUUAUCAGCUAGCUGAACUUAUUCACCACAAUUUGGAAGGGACAGAUACUCUCGGGACAUAUUUCUGUCCAUAACAAUUGGCGCCCAACGUGGGGCACCAGGUUCUGGCUGACCACUAGCCGAUGCCAAGGACAACAGUCGCCCAGUAGAGGAAAAGGACGGAGACUGAUCACCUCCGGGACACAGGUAAGACCUAUGUUAUUAGUUUCUUGCCUGUGUCAUACCUGUACCUACUGCUGAUGGUGUCUGUUGCCAAUAUCGACUUCUAUCAGCCAGCAAAGACAGGUAAAAUCUUGCCUGGUGCCAUUUACCUGACCUGUAUAAGAGUAUCUUGUCGCCUAUUAAUCUAUGGUUGAUGUUUAUUGUCUAUUAACUGCUUACUGGUGGAUGAAAAUAUAGAAUAAAAGGAUAGGGUAAUACUUCGGACAACAGGUGACAACUGGAUAUACAUUGUUUCUGACAUUUUGUGGGGGGAGGGACAAACGUGUCCCGACAAACGUGUCGGCCCCCCGGCGUCCUGUGCGUAGGACCAAGCAAAGUGUUAAGCAGUGUCUGCUACGGGGGGGAAGGACAGAAGUGUCCAGGACAAACGUGUCGACCCCGAGAAGCGUGUAUAUCAUACAUCUCCCAGACGUGGGAGAUAAGUACAUUUGCAGCUGAUUGACACAAGUGGUCUUUCUUCGGGGCUAGCAAACCCCGACUACCCAAGCGUGGGAGCGUGCAAAUUGCUGGAGUAGGAUAGCACACCUACUCCGUGACGGGUUGUCCCUUUUAUCCCUAGUUGUGAUAGUCAGAAGACCCACCAGUAUUGAGGUUGUUGUUCCCCUCGUGGACAUCAUUGAGUAUUGUAUUGUGUGUCCGAUGUCCUGUCCAGAGUGCGUGUUGGCCUGUUUAUGUUAUGUGUUACUUCGUCUCUGGGUGAUUUGGAUAAAAUAGAAGGGACCCUGGACGGAGAAAAACAGAGAUAGUAUCGGCAGAUAUAGUACCAGUAAGGCCGGCCCUGAUGUAUCCGAAGGCGAGAGCCAGUGGAGGCAGGUAUCUAUAUAAGUAUAUGGACAGUAUCAGUAAGGCCGGCCCUGAUGUAUCCGAAGGCGAGAGCCAGUGGAGGCAAGUAUUGUCCAUAUACAUAGGCACAAUACCCUGGGUCCUCCCAACUGAUGAACUUUGUGAUUAGUCAGUGGGAGGCGGUUUGUCUAUAAUACGUGUGGAGAUAAAAAGUUCCCGAUUGACUGAGUUUUGUACCUGUCAAGCCUGUGGCGGUCCCCCACGUAUCAUACUGUCUCUGUUCAUAUCUGGCUAAACCCAGUAAGACAUCCCACCAGAGUUGAAAUUGUGUCAAUGUCAUGAGCUCAGUUAUGUCGUGUUUGUUUUUACUUGUGUGUAUCAAUUUAAUCAUUAUACAGACUGACCAAGAACCCUGCGCAAUAUAGUCUGUACUCCUUGUCUAUCCACAAAGUGUAAUUUUUGUAUUAGGUCUGGGGAUAGGGUUAUACAGCCAGAUGGCAAAAAUCAAGUAUUUGUACCACCUUUCCCAUUGCAUGGCAAAUAUACAGCCACCGCCUUAUAAUGGCGCCUCAGAAAAAGGACAGAUAGCCAGAGUAUGAGAACUAAAACGUCAUUGAGUUUCCCUGGUGGCCAUCUUCCCCUUGGUCACUGCCCCAGUCUAGAUCUGAAGAGUAAUAAUGGGACAAAAACAUCAGUACAAUGAGUGAGGGGGUCCCGGCAUGUGAGUUAGUGGCAGGCCGGGUGGGUAAAAAGGUAUGUAAGAAAAUAUGAUAGAUUGCCAAAAGAAUGCAAUUUGACCAAGAAUGACCCCCGCCUACAGCCGGAAGAAUGGCGUCUUCUCUUAACCGAGAAGAGAGGUGUGCUACUUGAUAAGGGUUUUGUAGAGACCGCUGAAGUUUAAAGUUGUUAAAUGCUUACACAAAGAAUAAUCGAAUCAAAUAGAAAAGUUAAAGUGAUGUAUUAGAAGCUCUAAUCCUACAAGAGUUGAGUGGUUGUUACUCAUAUGGCAUAACCACAAUCUGGAUCUUUUUCACCAACAUGAAGGUUGGUGAUCUGAGCAAAAUUCCAUCAGUAGCUGUUGAGAUUAUUCCAAUCCAUUCCCAAUAGAACAGCUAUCAUUGAUCCCACCACUCAUAGAAAUCAAAGAGAAGAACAAGAAAAGCUGCUAGCAGAAGGGUUAAGUUAGAAAAAUAGAGAAUAGUGAGAAGAGACAAUUCAUCUUUCAGUGCUGAAAACAGCAGCGCUGAUACAGGCAGUUCUCAGCCCCGCAGCCAAGCUCUACCCCGCCCGUACAGUACAAACUAGAGAAGAGGGGGGGAGAGGCGGGGGCACACACACAGCACCAAAUCUUAGAAGGAUUUUUCAAGACGUUUCACAACCCCGUACUAAUCCACUCAGAUUUGGACAGGAACUCUUGUUUAUCCAUAGUGCUCAUAACCCCAAUUGGACUGAUAUGUUAGUUGUAAUCAAACAUGUGUGUGGUCCAGCGGAUUACCAACAUCUGCUAGCUAAAAUGAAAUGGGACAUUAACCCUGUUGACCCAGCCCAAGUAGGGGGUCCCGUAUUUACACAAGCUUCCUUUCUUAUCAUUAUCCCUUGUCCCCAUCCCUGACAGUUACAUAGGUAGGGACAUCUUUUGUAAACUAGGGUGCAACAUAUACUGCAAGCAGGAUGCAGUGUUUGUGUCUGUCCCACCUCAGUAAGUGUCUGAGAUGACUAAUGCCCCAGAUACAGCAAAUCUGUCACUAAAAGAAAUGUCUAAGGAGGAACCUACCUCCUGAAUUACAAUGUGUCCUAGGUGAUGUAUGGGCUUUCUUACCGACGGAUGCCCAAAAUCUCACAGCACCCACUGUCCAGGGCGCAAGUAGAGAGGAUCCGCCCAGUCAUUCAAGGGUUACUUGACAGGGGAGUGUUAAUUCACAAGAUCAGCCCAUCUUGCCAAUUAAAAAGCCCAGCAAGAAUGAGUGGUGAUGUUUCUGUUUGCCGUUUAGGUGAUUGCCCUGUUGCACCCCGUGCUCUGUUACCAUAUUUGGUUGCUGCCUCACAUGGUCUCACCCACAUUUCAAAAGGGGGGAGGUGGGAUGCAGUAUCAAGAGUGUGGUUUUCCCUGGGUUCUCAUCUAUUGCAGCCAAAUAUGUACACUCAAUGUACCCAUUUCAGAUAUUGCAGAUAGAUUACAUAUUCUCUUGACAACACUAAAGUUGUAAAUGACACAACCUAUGAAUCCGGUGUGGAAUUCUGUGAGCAAAUUAAAUCCUGGGCACAGAAUAGGUUGGCUGAUCAGGCUAUAAGCAUUCAGGACAUCAACCAAGAUUAGGCGGAAUCCGUGGAGAAAUACAAGGUCCGCAUGAUGCAGGUGUUCUAUAGUUGGUUCUUGUGAUUGUCGACAUGUUCUCAGGAUGGCCGAAGCAUAUCCCGUGGCCAAUAUGACAGCAAUCACCACCGCCAAGAAAUUACUUACCGAAGUUGUGUGUCGCUACGGUGUCCCGGAAGUCAUAGAGAGUGACCAGGGCCCAGCGUUCACUGCUACCGUCACCAAGGAAAUUUGCACUGCUCUCGGGGUGACCCUCCAUUUCCAUACUCCCUACCAUCCUCAGAGUAGUGGGAAAGUGGAGCGUAUGCAUGGCACAUUGAAAACCAGAAUGUUCAAAAUGGCGCAGGAUACAGGAAUGAAAUGGCCGGAUAGCCUGCCUAUUGCUCUGUUCAGUGUCAGAUACACACCAAGGGGGGACCAUAAAUUGUCCCCCUUCGAGAUUCUGUUUGUGUCAGCCCCCAGGUUAGGGUGUUAUUUUUCCCAACAAUUACAAUUACAAUCAAAUGUAUUGACUGACUUUGUAUCUCAAUUAACCAGUGAACUAACAAGAGUGCAUGCUCAGGUUUUCUUCUAUUCCAGAUCCCUCUCUUGCCACAGGUACUCACAGCCUCAAGCAACGAGAUUGGGUCCUAGUCAAGAAGUUUCUGAGAAAGCACUGUUUGGAGCCCAAAUUUGAUGGCCGCUUCCAAGUUCUCCUUACCACAGCUACUUCAGUGAAGCUAGAAGGAAAACCCACCUGGAUCCAUGCCUCACACUGCAAGAAAACAGAUGCACCUAAUGAACCAGAUAUUGCUCUAUAUCCUUUACCAACUGCCCCUCCUUCGGGCCGUCCCUCACAUUCCGACUACAGUACUCUCCCAAUACAUUCCUAUGACCCCACCCACCCCCACCCCCUCCCUUGCUUAGUUUAAGGACAGUGCUGUUAGUUAAGUUGGAAGGGUUGGUCACUGAUUUUGGGCAGGUCUCUCCAGAUCACGCUGAAGCAUCAUACCCACCACUAGGGUGUACCCCCUCUGGAGCAACUUACUAACUUCUAUCUAGGUAGGGACAGCAAAAUAGACGUUUUUAGGGGGGAUUGUGGUGGACUGGUCAGUUUAUUCUGUGUGCUCUCAUUUAAAAAGUCUAUUUUACUGUUAUACUGUGUGUCCUAUUAUACUGUGUGUCUGCUAUAUUUCCUUACUCAGCUAUUUGCAAAACAUAUAUCAAUACUAGCUAGGAUGAAACCAAGAUAAACCUCUUCACAGAAACAGACUCGGUCUAAAAGGUCACGCCAGCUUGUGGUCAUGCCCCUAUGCAGCUGUUCCUGGAAGAUGACUGCUAAAUUAAAACCGCAUAAGAACUUUGUACUUUAUAUUUCGUUGUAUUUCCUCCCAUUUCAAGAUAUAUAUCUACGAAGUUUGAUAUCUAUUUUUAUAUCUAUGAAGUUUGUACUUUUCCAUUUGAAGCCACAUAGCGAAACCGCAAGCUUAGGAGGGUGUCAUAACAACCCCCACCUAGCCUAUAUAACCUUUUGUACCUUACAAUAAAGUGUGAAGAAGCAUUUUGUAUACUGAA